GGGAGGCAGCAGUGGGGAAUAUUGCACAAUGGGCGGAAGCCUGAUGCAGCAACGCCGCGUGAGGGAUGACGGCCUUCGGGUUGUAAACCUCUUUUAGCAGGGAAGAAGCGAAAGUGACGGUACCUGCAGAAAAAGCACCGGCUAACUACGUGCCAGCAGCCGCGGUAAUACGUAGGGUGCAAGCGUUAUCCGGAAUUAUUGGGCGUAAAGAGCUCGUAGGCGGUUUGUCGCGUCUGCUGUGAAAUCCGGAGGCUCAACCUCCGGCCUGCAGUGGGUACGGGCAGACUAGAGUGCGGUAGGGGAGAUUGGAAUUCCUGGUGUAGCGGUGGAAUGCGCAGAUAUCAGGAGGAACACCGAUGGCGAAGGCAGAUCUCUGGGCCGUUACUGACGCUGAGGAGCGAAAGGGUGGGGAGCAAACAGGCUUAGAUACCCUGGUAGUCCACCCCGUAAACGUUGGGAACUAGUUGUGGGGUCCAUUCCACGGAUUCCGUGACGCAGCUAACGCAUUAAGUUCCCCGCCUGGGGAGUACGGCCGCAAGGCUAAAACUCAAAGGAAUUGACGGGGACCCGCACAAGCGGCGGAGCAUGCGGAUUAAUUCGAUGCAACGCGAAGAACCUUACCAAGGCUUGACAUAUACGAGAACGGGCCAGAAAUGGUCAACUCUUUGGACACUCGUAAACAGGUGGUGCAUGGU
rnacentral:rRNA from 1 species